CCUACGGGAGGCAGCAGUGGGGAAUAUUGCACAAUGGGGGUAACCCUGAUGCAGCAACGCCGCGUGAGUGAAGAAGUAUUUCGGUAUGUUAAGCUCUAUCAGCAGGGAAGAAGAUGACGGUACCUGAAUAAGAAGCUCCGGCUAACUACGAGCCAGCAGCCGAGGUAAUACGUAGGGGGCAAGCGUUAUCCGGAUUUCCUGGGUGUAAUGGGAGCGCAGACGGCAGUGCAAGUCUGGAGUGAACGCCCUGGGCCCAACCCCGGAACUGCUCUGGAAACUGUGCGGCUAGAGUACUGGAGGGGCAGGCGGAAUUCCUAGUGUAGCGGUGAAAUGCGUAGAUAUUAGGAGGAACACCAGUGGCGAAGGCGGCCUGCUGGGCAGUAACUGACGUUGAGGCUCGAAAGCGUGGGGAGUAAACAGGAUUAGAUACCCUUGUAGUC
rnacentral:rRNA from 1 species